rnacentral:lncRNA from 1 species
GUCGAUGUGCAGUGGCCGGAGCCAGGGGAGGCACGUUUCAAGGACUGGAACUCGACAGAGCUGGGUCACCCUGGGGUCAGAAGGGACAAGGGCUGUGAAGAGGCUCCAGGAUUUGACAUAAGGUGCUCCUUGGGGCCCGUGAAAGUUGGGCAGUAUAGAUGGGAGGUGGGGCAGGACUCGAGGGGAGGAAAUGCUUUUAGGAUGUUUGAGUGUGAAGGGACAGAGACACAGGAGGGCAGUGAGCUCAAGAGUCGGUGCUUUCUGUAGAUCAUGGAGAAGAGGACGAGAAGAAGAGAGAUUAAAGAUGCGAGAAAACCCAGCCCCACUGUACAUAGUUGUAUAUUCUUGUUGUUGGUCCUUCUGGUCGUGCUAAGUGGGACGCCGCCUCAGCAUGGCUUGAUGAGCAGUGCCAUGUCCGUGCCCGGG